UACGUAGGGUGCGAGCGUUAAUCGGAAUUACUGGGCGUAAAGCGUGCGCAGGCGGUUUGGUAAGCCGGGUGUGAAACCCUCGAGCUCAACUCGGGGCGGCCACUCGGAACUGCUAUGACUUGAGUCUGGUAGGGGAACACGGAAUACCUGGUGUAGCGGUGAAAUGCUUAGAUAUCAGGAAGAACACCCGUGGCGAAGGCGGCUCUCUGGGACGGUACUGACGCUGAGACGCGAAAGCGUGGGAGCGAACAGG
rnacentral:rRNA from 1 species